rnacentral:misc_RNA from 1 species
GGAACUUGCAAUGCUUAGACCCUAUUUUAGUUCACAGAUCCAUUUGAGCCAAAACCUGAUCAAAAUACAAGCCCAUUAUAGUUCACACAUCAAAUACAAAAUACAAGCGUUUCUUAGUAGAUGCCAAGCUGCAUUACUUGAACAAGAUUCACAAGUUCAUGAUUUGGAAAAGAACUAAGAAAGGAUGGGUACUCCUUAUAUUAGUUAGCUGGAAGUUGCACGCAGAAGAAAUAAGAGUGCAAAAAGCUGAGAAAAUCUCCAAUACCCUGCGUGCUACAGCUUCAUUUCACGCAUAAAACCUCACACAAGAACAAGGAUGAUGAUCUUUCCCAAAGAUACUGAAGUUCAAUAUAUAUAAUCAUCAUCAAAGAUCAUGUAAUUGCCGCUCCUCCUGGCUCUUUCCUCUCUAUCAGCCUUGGUUAUAAGCCUCUCAAAAGCCUCAGUUCCAUUCUCUUCCAUAUAUUUCUCAGCAGCAGUUAAAAUGUCAU